rnacentral:rRNA from 1 species
GACGAACGCUGGCGGCGUGCCUAAUACAUGCAAGUCGAACGCAGUGGGGAUGGGUGAGUAACACGUGGGUAACCUCCCAUCAGAGGGGAUAACACUUGGAAACUGGUGCUAACCCGAUAUUGAUUGAUGGACUCGGGGUGCAUGAGCUAGUUGGUGGGGUAACGGCUCACCAAGGCCACGAUGCAUAGCCGACCUGAGAGGAGGAUCGGCCACACUGGGACUGAGACACGGCCCAGACUCCUACGGGAGGCAGCAGUAGGGAAUCUUCGGCAAUGGACGAAAGUCUGACCGAGCAACGCCGCGUGAGUGAAGAAGGUUUGCGGAUCGUAAAACUCUGUUGGUAGAGAAGCGGUAUCUAACCAGAAAGCCACGGCUAACUACGUGCCAGCCGCCGCGGUAAUAC